GAUGAACGCUAGCUACAGGCUUAACACAUGCAAGUCGAGGGGUAACAAGAGGAAAGCUUGCUUUUCCUGUUGACGACCGGCGCACGGGUGAGUAACGCGUAUCCAACCUGCCUAUAACUAGGGAAUAACCUUGCGAAAGUAAGACUAAUACCCUAUGAUUUCCUUUGAUGGCAUCAGAUUAGGAAUAAAGACUUAGCGGUUAUAGAUGGGGAUGCGUCUGAUCAGCUUGUUGGCGGGGUAACGGCCCACCAAGGCAACGAUCAGUAGGGGUUCUGAGAGGAAGGUCCCCCACAUUGGAACUGAGACACGGUCCAAAGUCCUACGGGAGGCAGCAGUGAGGAAUAUUGGUCAAUGGGCGGAAGCCUGAACCAGCCAAGUAGCGUGCAGGAUGACGGCCCUAUGGGUUGUAAACUGCUUUUAUACAGGAAUAAAGUUAGCCACAUGUGGUUAUUUGUAGGUACUGUAUGAAUAAGGACCGGCCAAUUCCGUGCCAGCCGCCGCAGUAA
rnacentral:rRNA from 1 species